CGCUAAUACCAACAACGACUCCCUUCCAAAUAACAACAACCACAACAGCUUCCCCAUCAGCAGGGCCCGUUUUCGACCUUUCAUUUAUACUGAAUACCGACUUUACAGAAGAUCUAAAGGAUCCAAGUAGCCAAGCAUACAAGGAUUUGGCAGAAAGGGUUGUGGCAAUGUUGAUGAAGGGUUACAAAGACUCUCCUAUGGGUGACAAGAUCAGC